CACGUAGUUAGCCGUGGCUUUCUAUUCCGGUACCGUCAAUCCUUCUCACUAUUCGCAAAAAGGCCUUUCGUCCCGAUUAACAGAGCUUUACAACCCGAAGGCCGUCAUCACUCACGCGGCGUUGCUCCGUCAGACUUUCGUCCAUUGCGGAAGAUUCCCCACUGCUGCCUCCCGUAGGAGUCUGGGCCGUGUCUCAGUCCCAAUGUGGCCGUUCAUCCUCUCAGACCGGCUACUGAUCAUCGCCUUGGUGGGCCGUUACCCCUCCAACUAGCUAAUCAGACGCAAUCCCCUCCUUCAGUGAUAGCUUACAUGUAGAGGCCACCUUUCAUCUAUCCUCGAUGCCGAGGUUAGAUCGUAUGCGGUAUUAGCAGUCGUUUCCAACUGUUGUCCCCCUCUGAAGGGCAGGUUGAUUACGCGUUACUCACCCGUUCGCCACUAAGAUUGAUAGAAGCAAGCUUCCAUCGCUCUUCGUUCGACUUGCAUGUGUUAAGCACGCCGCC
rnacentral:rRNA from 1 species